rnacentral:tRNA from 1 species
GAAUAAAAGCCCUGUACUUGUCCUUCUAAGUCAAAGUUCCUGCAGUUAAAAUCUGUAGUAUUCUCG